UUAAGUUAGAAAGGGCGCACGGUGGAUGCCUUGACACUAGGAGUCGAUGAAGGACGGGACUAACGCCGAUAUGCUUCGGGGAGCUGUAAGUAAGCUUUGAUCCGAAGAUUUCCGAAUGGGGAAACCCACCAUACGUAAUGGUAUGGUAUCCUUAUCUGAAUACAUAGGGUAAGGAAGACAGACCCAGGGAACUGAAACAUCUAAGUACCUGGAGGAAGAGAAAGCAAAUGCGAUUUCCUGAGUAGCGGCGAGCGAAACGGAACAUAGCCCAAACCAAGAGGCUUGCCUCUUGGGGUUGUAGGACAUUCUAUACGGAGUUACAAAGGAACGAGGUAGACGAAGCGACCUGGAAAGGUCCGUCGUAGAGGGUAACAACCCCGUAGUCGAAACUUCGUUCUCUCUUGAAUGUAUCCUGAGUACGGCGGAACACGUGAAAUUCCGUCGGAAUCUGGGAGGACCAUCUCCCAAGGCUAAAUACUCCCUAGUGAUCGAUAGUGAACCAGUACCGUGAGGGAAAGGUGAAAAGCACCCCGGAAGGGGAGUGAAAGAGAUCCUGAAACCGUGUGCCUACAAAUAGUCAGAGCCCGUUAACGGGUGAUGGCGUGCCUUUUGUAGAAUGAACCGGCGAGUUACGAUCCCGUGCGAGGUUAAGCUGAAGAGGCGGAGCCGCAGCGAAAGCGAGUCUGAAUAGGGCGUUUAGUACGUGGUCGUAGACCCGAAACCAGGUGAUCUACCCAUGUCCAGGGUGAAGUUCAGGUAACACUGAAUGGAGGCCCGAACCCACGCACGUUGAAAAGUGCGGGGAUGAGGUGUGGGUAGCGGAGAAAUUCCAAUCGAACCUGGAGAUAGCUGGUUCUCCCCGAAAUAGCUUUAGGGCUAGCCUUAAGUGUAAGAGUCUUGGAGGUAGAGCACUGAUUGGACUAGGGGUCCUCAUCGGAUUACCGAAUUCAGUCAAACUCCGAAUGCCAAUGACUUAUCCUUAGGAGUCAGACUGCGAGUGAUAAGAUCCGUAGUCAAAAGGGAAACAGCCCAGACCGCCAGCUAAGGUCCCAAAGUGUGUAUUAAGUGGAAAAGGAUGUGGAGUUGCUUAGACAACUAGGAUGUUGGCUUAGAAGCAGCCACCAUUUAAAGAGUGCGUAAUAGCUCACUAGUCGAGUGACUCUGCGCCGAAAAUGUACCGGGGCUAAAUACACCACCGAAGCUGCGGAUUGAUACCAAUGGUAUCAGUGGUAGGGGAGCGUUCUAAGGACAGUGAAGUCAGACCGGAAGGACUGGUGGAGUGCUUAGAAGUGAGAAUGCCGGUAUGAGUAGCGAAAGACGGGUGAGAAUCCCGUCCACCGAAUGCCUAAGGUUUCCUGAGGAAGGCUCGUCCGCUCAGGGUUAGUCAGGACCUAAGCCGAGGCCGACAGGCGUAGGCGAUGGACAACAGGUUGAUAUUCCUGUACCACCUCUUUAUCGUUUGAGCAAUGGAGGGACGCAGAAGGAUAGAAGAAGCGUGCGAUUGGUUGUGCACGUCCAAGCAGUUAGGCUGAUAAGUAGGCAAAUCCGCUUAUCGUGAAGGCUGAGCUGUGAUGGGGAAGCUCCUUAUGGAGCGAAGUCUUUGAUUCCCCGCUGCCAAGAAAAGCUUCUAGCGAGAUAAAAGGUGCCUGUACCGCAAACCGACACAGGUAGGCGAGGAGAGAAUCCUAAGGUGUGCGAGAGAACUCUGGUUAAGGAACUCGGCAAAAUGACCCCGUAACUUCGGGAGAAGGGGUGCUUUCUUAACGGAAAGCCGCAGUGAAUAGGCCCAAGCGACUGUUUAGCAAAAACACAGCUCUCUGCGAAGCCGUAAGGCGAAGUAUAGGGGGUGACACCUGCCCGGUGCUGGAAGGUUAAGGAGAGGGGUUAGCGUAAGCGAAGCUCUGAACUGAAGCCCCAGUAAACGGCGGCCGUAACUAUAACGGUCCUAAGGUAGCGAAAUUCCUUGUCGGGUAAGUUCCGACCCGCACGAAAGGUGUAACGAUUUGGGCACUGUCUCAACCAGAGACUCGGUGAAAUUAUAGUACCUGUGAAGAUGCAGGUUACCCGCGACAGGACGGAAAGACCCCGUGGAGCUUUACUGUAGCCUGAUAUUGAAUUUUGGUACAGUUUGUACAGGAUAGGCGGGAGCCUUUGAAACCGGAGCGCUAGCUUCGGUGGAGGCGCUGGUGGGAUACCGCCCUGACUGUAUUGAAAUUCUAACCUACGGGUCUUAUCGACCCGGGAGACAGUGUCAGGUGGGCAGUUUGACUGGGGCGGUCGCCUCCUAAAGUGUAACGGAGGCGCCCAAAGGUUCCCUCAGAAUGGUUGGAAAUCAUUCGUAGAGUGCAAAGGCAUAAGGGAGCUUGACUGCGAGACCUACAAGUCGAGCAGGGACGAAAGUCGGGCUUAGUGAUCCGGUGGUUCCGCAUGGAAGGGCCAUCGCUCAACGGAUAAAAGCUACCCCGGGGAUAACAGGCUUAUCUCCCCCAAGAGUCCACAUCGACGGGGAGGUUUGGCACCUCGAUGUCGGCUCAUCGCAUCCUGGGGCUGUAGUCGGUCCCAAGGGUUGGGCUGUUCGCCCAUUAAAGCGGUACGCGAGCUGGGUUCAGAACGUCGUGAGACAGUUCGGUCCCUAUCCGUCGUGGGCGUAGGAAAUUUGAGAGGAGCUGUCCUUAGUACGAGAGGACCGGGAUGGACGCACCGCUGGUGUACCAGUUGUUCUGCCAAGGGCAUAGCUGGGUAGCUAUGUGCGGAAGGGAUAAGUGCUGAAAGCAUCUAAGCAUGAAGCCCACCUCAAGAUGAGAUUUCCCAUAGCGUAAGCUAGUAAGAUCCCUGAAAGAUGAUCAGGUUGAUAGGUUCGAGGUGGAAGCAUGGUGACAUGUGGAGCUGACGAAUACUAAUAGAUCGAGGACUUAACCAU
rnacentral:rRNA from 2 species